UUUACGUUCAAUUUUUCUAAGUUCUUUCGAAUUAUUGAAACUUAAAUAAAUUUCGCGUCGAACUUCUUUAGUGAAAUAAUCUUUCGUAAAAUAAAAGCGUCGUCCCACGGCGCUUUUUAUUACGGGCUGGAUUUUUCUUCGCGGGAUCUGCGGAUUUCGUGCGUCGAGGCGAUCAGCUACAAGCGUCGCCAUCUUGUCGUUUGGAGGUUAAAGUUCGGAUUUUGGGCAAGCUGCCUGGCAGCGCCGCCAUCUUGUGCUAGGAGCGAUUAAAGGGUCGCAAGCUCGUGUGCCACGUUACGGCCCGCCCAUUGGGGUAGCUAAACAGAGGCGAGUGGCAAGUUCGUUAAAUUAACCGUAACGAAAUUAACGCAGUGGUCGUCAAUUGCCACCGUCGUUUAAAGUCACCAAAGAGGUGACAGCCGAGAGCCGGUAUUCGCUGUGCGCGCCAAUUACGUUCAGUGUUUGCCAGUCCAAGGGGAGGGUUCCCGUGGCCUUUAUCGGUUGUGUAGACGGAAACAGUAGUACGUGAAGGCCGGUAUUGAUACCCCAGCGUCCCUUCCUGCGGAAAUAAUCCGGAUUAGCUCGAUUCGUCGUGCGUAGUGCUCUCUGGCCCCGAAACCGGAAGUCUUCCGCCAGCCGCGCCAUCCUCUGGACCUUUAAUUCGGCCAAUUUGCACACGAGCGACCCCCGCGUGUCACCACACCGAACACGCCGGUUAUCGGAGCAAACCCAGACGCCAUCUUGCGGCCCAAGGCCGAACCGAACGAGUUCGUCGUUUACCAAGCAGCGGACCACUGGGAGGACUACUAAACGCGCCUGUUGCAGCGCGCUGAAGGAACACCACGAAGCGUCGC
rnacentral:lncRNA from 1 species